GUCUGGUGCCAGCAGCCGCGGUAAUUCCAGCUCCAAUAGCGUAUAUUAAACUUGUUGCAGUUAAAAAGCUCGUAGUUGUAUUUUUGCGUUGACGGUUUGACCAUUUGGUURGUUAUUUCGUUUUCGCUUUUGGGAAUUUCCCUUUUUACUUUGAGAAAAUUAGAGUGUUUCA
rnacentral:rRNA from 1 species